rnacentral:rRNA from 1 species
AGUACGCUAUAGAGUUUGAUCAUGGCUCAGGAUGAACGCUAGCGGCAGGCCUAAUACAUGCAAGUCGAGGGGUAGCGCAGCAAUGCGUGAGACCGGCGCACGGGUGCGUAACGCGUAUGGAAGGUGUCCGAACCACUGGGAUAGCCCCGAACGGGAACGGUUAAUACCGGAUGGCCCGUAUGUGCGGCAUCGCAUGUACGGUAAAGCUCAGGCGGGUUCGGGUCCCCAUGCGUACGAUUAGCUAGUUGG